rnacentral:rRNA from 1 species
GUUACACCGUUCGAACUGAAUCUGAGAGUACUAACCUUCGUUAUUCUGGUUGAUUGCCUUUCGGGGUUUUCUUCUGGUUUAGUGUUGGGAGCGUAUCGGUAGUAGGUUAGCGUGGGAGUGACGCGGGUAGGUAGCCGGCUGCGGAGGUGGUUUUCCGUGGCUAAGCGUGUGGGCUGUCCUCUAGGUAAAUCCGGGGGAUGUUUAAGCUGAGGCGUGAUGGGUAGGCCGUAUGGCUGAUUCCGGUGAUCCUGCUUGCCGAGAAAAGCUUCAACGUGAGGUGUGAUUCCGCUCGUACCCUAAACCGACACUGGUGGUCUGGUAGAGUAUACCGAAGCGAUCGGGCGAAUCCUGGCCAAGGAACUCGGCAAAUUACUCCCGUGCCUUCGGCAUAAGGGAGACCCUUGAUGGUGAUGUUUUUUACAUGCGGAGCUGUUGGGGGUGGCACAAGCUAGGGGGUAGCGACUGUUUACCAAAAACACAGGAGCGUGCGAAGGCGUAAGCCGCUGUAUACGCUCUGACGCCUGCCCGGUGCCGGAAGGUUAAGAGGAUCCGUUAGCUUUGGCGAAGCGGUGAAUUUAAGCCCCGGUAAACGGCGGUGGUAACUAUAACCAUCCUAAGGUAGCGAAAUUCCUUGUCGGGUAAGUUCCGACCUGCACGAAUGGCGUAACGACUUCCCCACUGUCUCGGCCAGGAGCCCGGCGAAAUUGCAGUACGAGUAAAGAUGCUCGUUAAGCGCAGAAGGACGAAAAGACCCCGGGACCUUUACUAUACCUUGGUAUUGUCGUUAGGUGUGGAUCGUGUAGCAUAGGCGGGAGGCUUUGAAGCGUGGGCGCUAGCUUGCGUGGAGUCGAUAAGUGAAAUACCGCUCUUUCCAUAUCUGGCGUCUAACCUCGACACGUUAUCCGUGUUAGGGACAGUGCCUGGCGGGUAGUUUAACUGGGGCGGUUGCCUCCUAAAGAGUAACGGAGGCGCUCAAUGGUCCGCUCAGCCCGGUUGGCAAUCGGGUGUUGAGUGUAAUCGCACAAGCGGGCUUGACUGUGAGACUGACGGGUCGAGCAGGGACGAAAGUCGGAGAUAGUGAUCCGGUGCCGGCGUACGGACGUGGCAUCGCUCAACGGAUAAAAGGUACCCCGGGGAUAACAGGCUGAUCAUUCCCAAGAGUCCAUAUCGACGGGAUGGUUUGGCACCUCGAUGUCGGCUCGUCGCAUCCUGGGGCUGGAGCAGGUCCCAAGGGUUCGGCUGUUCGCCGAUUAAAGCGGCACGCGAGCUGGGUUCAGAACGUCGUGAGACAGUUUGGUCUCUAUCCUCUGCGCUCGUUGGAAUGUUGAGGAGACCUGCCCAUAGUACGAGAGGACCUGGGUGGACGAACCUCUGGUAUGCCGGUCGUCACGCCAGUGGCGCUGCCGGUUAGCUACGUUUGGAAGGGAUAACCGCUGAAAGCAUCUAAGCGGGAAGCCUGCUCCAAGAUUAGCAUUCCUUGCACUUUGUGUGUGAGCCCCCAUGUAGAACACGUGGUUGAUAGGCUGGAUGUGGAAGCCCUGUAAGGGGUGGAGCUGACCAGUACUAAUGGGCGAUUGUGA